AUUUUACUGCAAGUUUUUCCCUGAAUUAGUUGAUAUCGGGUAUUUAGGAUUGAAUAUCAGAUUAAAAGGAGGUGUGACAUGUGUCCCAAUAUUCCACCGCCUAUACUCCCUUUCUUCUUUCCUUUUCUAUAUUUCAUCACUUUUAAAACAUCAAGUCUCAGUCUCUCGCAUCUCUCGUUGUUGAGCCUCAACUAGUGUUCUCUUCCUCCUCUCUGCCUUUUCAAUCUUGCAACCGUGUGAUUAAUUAGGAGAGAGUGAAAUUAGGGUUUGGGAUUUUUCAACCAAUCAAAGAAUAGAUCAAGACGUGUAUAUCGAGAAGGUUCAGAAUUAUUCUGAUGGUGUUUCAAGUUGAAGCAAGAAUAAUCUGAAAAGACAAGCGGAGAAAGAGUAUAGUCAGAAGCUACUUAGAAAAACACGAUUGUGCGGUAUAGUGCUAUUAGAAUGGUGGCUAAACAUCGGAGUUAAGGCAAGUAUUUCUACCCUUAGUUAAGACUAGGGAUAAAGAUGAUUCACUAAAGACUGCGCGUAAAGAGUAAUGAUAGGCAAUGAUUGCAAGUGGUUGAGUUCAGGAAAAUUGUUAGGUAGGGUAUCCGGGACGAUGUGAUUAAGACUAGAUGCAGUUGGAGUUCUGCAAUUCAAUUCAGUUGGAAAUGAGAUUUGUUUAUUUGGUUAUCAGCUACUCUUCUUAUCGAUGUUUAGCUGAUAAUGCAGUUUAAUUUGUAAUUAAAUUUGAUAGUUUUAGUUUCUGAUUUCAAUGCUGUAACCUGUAUGCGAUCCUGUUUUCAGGGGGUGAAUUUGAUUUUAAUUUAAAUCAUUUUUUUAAAAA